rnacentral:rRNA from 1 species
AUUGAACGCUGGCGGCAUGCUUUACACAUGCAAGUCGAACGGUAACAGGUCCUCGGAUGCUGACGAGUGGCGAACGGGUGAGUAAUACAUCGGAACGUGCCUAGUAGUGGGGGAUAACUACUCGAAAGAGUAGCUAAUACCGCAUGAGAUCUACGGAUGAAAGCAGGGGACCUUCGGGCCUUGUGCUACUAGAGCGGCUGAUGGCAGAUUAGGUAGUUGGUGGGGUAAAGGCUUACCAAGCCUGCGAUCUGUAGCUGGUCUGAGAGGACGACCAGCCACACUGGGACUGAGACACGGCCCAGACUCCUACGGGAGGCAGCAGUGGGGAAUUUUGGACAAUGGGCGAAAGCCUGAUCCAGCAAUGCCGCGUGCAGGAUGAAGGCCCUCGGGUUGUAAACUGCUUUUGUACGGAACGAAAAGCCUGGGGCUAAUAUCCCCGGGUCAUGACGGUACCGUAAGAAUAAGCACCGGCUAACUACGUG